AUUGAACGCUGGCGGCAGGCCUAACACAUGCAAGUCGAGCGAGCGGCGGACGGGUGAGUAAUGUAUGGGGAUCUGCCCGAUGGAGGGGGAUAACUACUGGAAACGGUGGCUAAUACCGCAUACCAUCGGAUGAACCCCUAUGGGAUUAGCUAGUAGGUGGGGUAACGGCUCACCUAGGCGACGAUCUCUAUCUGGUCUGAGAGGAUGAACAGCCACACUGGAACUGAGACACGGCCCAGACUCCGACGGGAGGCAGCAGUGGGGAAUAUUGCACAAGGGGCUCAAGCCUGAUGCAGCCAUGCCGCGUGUAUGAAGAAGGCCUUAGGGUUGUAAAGUACUUUCAGCGGGGAGGCGUUACCCGCAGAAGAAGCACCGGCUAACUCCGUGCCAGCAGCCGCGGUAAUAC
rnacentral:rRNA from 1 species